GACGAACGCUGGCGGCGUGCUUAACACAUGCAAGUCGAACGAUGAAGCUGGAGCUUGCUCCGGUGGAUUAGUGGCGAACGGGUGAGUAACACGUGAGCAAUCUGCCCUUGACUCUGGGAUAACAGCGGGAAACUGUAGCUAAUACCGGAUACGAGGCUCGAAGGCAUCUUCGGGUCUGGAAGGAAUUUCGGUCAAGGAUGAGCUCGCGGCCUAUCAGCUUGUUGGUGAGGUAAUGGCUCACCAAGGCGACGACGGGUAGCCGGCCUGAGAGGGUGACCGGCCACACUGGGACUGGGACACGGCCCAGACUCCUACGGGAGGCAGCAGUGGGGAAUAUUGCACAAUGGGCGAAAGCCUGAUGCAGCAACGCCGCGUGAGGGAUGAAGGCCUUCGGGUUGUAAACCUCUUUUAGCAGGGAAGAAGCGAAAGUGACGGUACCUGCAGAAAAAGCACCGGCUAACUACGUGCCAGCCGCCGCGGUAA
rnacentral:rRNA from 1 species